CAUUGACGACGGGCGGAUUGGCCCACGUGAUGAUCCCAAGGUGCGCUCCAAGAUCCUCUCUGAGGAGUUUGGCUGGGACAAGGAUCUUGCAAAGAAGAUCUGGUGUUUUGGACCUGAGACCACUGGCCCCAACAUGGUGGUUGAUAUGUGUAAGGGAGUUCAGUAUCUGAAUGAAAUCAAGGACCCCGCCCCUUGGAGGAGGGAUUGGCUGAGGCCAUUGACGACGGUCGUAUUGGCCCACGUGAUGAUCCCAAGGUGCGCUCCAAGAUCCUCUCUGAGGAGUUUGGCUGGGACAAGGAUCUUGCAAAGAAGAUCUGGUGUUUUGGACCUGAGACCACUGGCCCCAACAUGGUGGUUGAUAUGUGUAAGGGAGUUCAGUAUCUGAAUGAAAUCAAGGACUCUGUUGUGGCUGGUUUCCAGUGGGCA
rnacentral:lncRNA from 1 species